AUCGCUUCUCGGCCUUUUGGCUAAGAUCAAGUGUAGAUGUCCCACAUUGCAAAUAUGCAAUAAUUAUUAUUUUAACUACAUACUUCAC
rnacentral:snRNA from 1 species